rnacentral:misc_RNA from 1 species
AAAGUGCGAUAACUAGUGUGAAUUGCAGAAUUCUGUGAAUCAUCGAACUCUUGAACGCAUCCUGCGCCUUGAGGCUAUCCUCGAGGCACACUUGUUUGAGUGGCGACAAAUAUUCUCUAUCCAAUAAAACUAUGUGCUUCUGCAUGUGGUUUCGAUUGGGAUGAUGACAGUGUAGAGAAAGCUUCUUCAAGCUUUUCUCAACUCUGUUGAAAAAUAUAGGCUGAACUUGCUUACUUCAGUGUAAGUUCCAUAAAGGUUUGAGGAAUUUUUUAUAUUCCACUACUUCCCUUUUGGUCUUAUGCAAUUCAUGUAGUAACUUGUAUACAGUUCAAAGGAACAAAACUCUUAAAGGGUCUCUUGAGCUUUACGCUCAAUCCCCUUUCACACCUUAAUUUCGCCCUCAAAUCAAGUGGGAUUACCCCCUGAAUUUAAGC